UAUUGGUCAAUGGCCGGAAGGCUGAACCAGCCAAGCCGCGUGAGGGAGGAAGGCGCAGAGCGUCGCAGACCUCUUUUGCCGGGGAGCAGGGCGGCGGACGUGUCCGCCGUUUGAGCGUACCCGGAGAAAAAGCAUCGGCUAACUCCGUGCCAGCAGCCGCGGUAAUACGGAGGAUGCGAGCGUUAUCCGGAUUUAUUGGGUUUAAAGGGUGCGUAGGCGGGCUUUUAAGUCAGCGGUAAAAAUUAGGGGCUCAACCCCGUCCGGCCGUUGAAACUGGGGGCCUUGAGUGGGCGAGAAGAAGGCGGAAUGCGUGGUGUAGCGGUGAAAUGCAUAGAUAUCACGCAGAUCCCCGAUUGCGAAGGCAGCCUUCCGGCGCCCUACUGACGCUGAGGCACGAAAGUGCGGGGAUCGAACAGG
rnacentral:rRNA from 1 species